GAUGAAGAACGUAGCGAAAUGCGAUAAGUACUGUGAAUUGCAGAAUUCAGUGAAUCAUCGAAUCUUUGAACGCACAUUGCGCCCAUUAGUAUUCUAGUGGGCAUGCCUGUUCGAGCGUCAUUUCAACCCUUAAGCCUAGCUUAGUAUUGGGAAUCGACUUUACUGUCGUUCCUCAAAUUCAACGGCGGAUUUAUAGCAAUCUCUGAACGUAGUAAUUUUUUUUCUCGUUUUUGAAAUACUAUAAACCUCAGCCGCUAAACCCCCAAUUUCUUAUGGUUGACCUCGGAUCAGGUAGGAAUACCCGCUGAACUUAAGCAUAUCAAUAAGCGGAGGA
rnacentral:misc_RNA from 1 species